rnacentral:rRNA from 1 species
UACAGAGGGUGCUAGCGUUGUUCGGAAUUAUUGGGCGUAAAGGGCGCGUAGGCGGCCCUGUGUGUCGGGUGUGAAAGCCCACCUCUUAAAGGUGGAAUUGCAUUCGAAACUGCAGGGCUGGAGUGUCGGAGAGGAUGGCGGAAUUCCUGGUGUAGAGGUGAAAUGCGCAGAUAUCAGGAGGAACACCGGUGGCGAAGGCGGUUCUCUGGGCAUGUCCUGACGCUGAGGAGCGAAAGUGUGGGGAGCGAACAGG